UUCCGGUUGAUCCUGCCGGACCUGACUGCUAUCGGAUUGAUACUAAGCCAUGCGAGUCAUUGUAGUAAUACAAGGCAGACGGCUCAGUAACGCGUAGUCAACCUAACCUAUGGACGGGAAUAACCUCGGGAAACUGAGUAUAAUGCCCGAUAGAACAUUAUGCCUGGAAUGGUUUAUGUUCCAAAUGAUUUAUCGCCGUAGGAUGGGACUGCGGCCUAUCAGUUUGUUGGUGAGGUAAUGGCCCACCAAGACUAUUACAGGUACGGGCUCUGAGAGGAGUAGCCCGGAGAUGGGUACUGAGACACGGACCCAGGCCCUAUGGGGCGCAGCAGGCGAGAAAACUUUGCAAUGUGCGAAAGCACGACAAGGUUAAUCCGAGUGGUUUGUGCUAAACAGACCUUUUGUUAGUCCUAGAAACACUAACGAAUAAGGGGUGGGCAAGUUCUGGUGUCAGCCGCCGCGGUAAAACCAGCACCUCAAGUGGUCAGGAUGAUUAUUGGGCCUAAAGCAUCCGUAGCCGGCUCUGUAAGUUUUCGGUUAAAUCUGUAUGCUCAACAUACAGGCUGCCGGGAAUACUGCAGAGCUAGGGAGUGGGAGAGGUAGACGGUACUCGGUAGGAAGGGGUAAAAUCCUUUGAUCUAUUGAUGACCACCUGUGGCGAAGGCGGUCUACCAGAACACGUCCGACGGUGAGGGAUGAAAGCUGGGGGAGCAAACCGGAUUAGAUACCCGGGUAGUCCCAGCUGUAAACUAUGCAAACUCAGUGAUGCAUUGGCUUGUGGCCAAUGCAGUGCUGCAGGGAAGCCGUUAAGUUUGCCGCCUGGGAAGUACGUACGCAAGUAUGAAACUCAAAGGAAUUGGCGGGGGAGCACCACAAGGGGUGAAGCCUGCGGUUCAAUUGGAGUCAACGCCGGAA
rnacentral:rRNA from 1 species